GAAAGAGAGGGAGAGAGAACUGGGAAGAUAGAAGGGCUGGAAGGAGGAUGGCGGUCAGAAUUUAUGGGCGCUUUAUCACUUUACCGGCCUUGCCGCGUCUCCUUUAGCCAUGAGGAGGGCAGGAUCUCACGAUGAACUUUGGCACUCGACUCGGUCUACACUCGACGAACGUUUGGGCCUUAUGUGGUUUCCACGUACCACCAGAUGUCGUCCACGUUGCGUCUAUGUUAUAUAAGUCCAUGGAAGAUCAAGAGAUUUGCAGAAUAAUCAAGAUUUUAAAGGAAAACCAAAUGAUUCUCUUGAAAGUCCUUUCAAAACUGGCGCCCUUUCGGAGGCCUGGCAGCCAUUAGACUCCAAAGUGAAGAGAAAGAGAAAGAGUGAAAGAGAGAGAAAGUCCAGGGAGAGAGGAUGAUGGUUCCAUCGAGUAGGUAGUGCCUAGACGGGGCUCCACCCAGCACUUAGUUCACGUCGCGAGUAUGGCCCAGGGCACGCUGGUAUCCAGGGUACAGUCACGCCCCUGCCGCACCAGCUACGUAUUCCCAUUCGCUGGCCCAUAUCUCAUCGGGUCCAUCGCAUUAGCCUAAUCUGCCAACGACGACGAAUAGAAAGCUCCACGAUUGGGGUAACCAGGGGGCUAGGGAACAUUGAGGGGCCGAGAGGGGCAAAGAAAAAAAUGCGGCCAUCGACGUUGCGUUGUUGUUGCGCUGUGUUUGCUCGGCUCGAAAUCGCGGCGAGCUGCUGCCACCUAUCGAGCCGAAUCCAAGACCAAGACCGGUCCCCUGAUCGAUUUUUUUCUUACCUCUCUAUGUCGGACGCGUCUAUUUCUUUUAUAAUACUUCCGUUUUUUUUACCCUCCACCCUGUGAUUUUUACGUUCGUUUGUUUUAACGUUCGUUAGUUUGGUUGUUUAAUCGCGUGAAGAUGUUAUAUUCAUCAUCAGUUCCAUGUUUCUUCCUACACGUUUAUUGGACUCGGUAAGAUUCGUCAAAUUUGUUCUUGUUUUUUGACUUUUCUUUUGACUUUUGUUUUUGUUUGUAUUAUGAGUGACGAGCUGUUUUAGGCGUGUACAAAAUUGUUAUUAAGUUUUCUUUUAAGAAUCGUUUGUAAAAGUCGAUGUAGGUGUGCGAAUAAAGUGUUUAUAUGCUUUUACAAGCUGUAUAUUCUCGCAGUAUGCGAUGAGACACGGACUGGACGUUUGCUAUGUCUGAGAGGAAGAUGUUGCAGCUUUCGGUUACCGUCGAUGCCAUUUCAUCCUUCCAUUUCCUCGUCUGGGUUUCUUUGAAGACAACCCUGGGAAACUGGAAAACUUUGCAAAUCGCGGAGCACCCCUCAGUCCGUACUCAGCAGGGGUGGGUCUACAAUAACACGCGGCAUACUGGAUUGGUGGUGAUAAAGAGAGGAGGAGGCAGAUCAAGGAAUAGAAUUCUAUAAAUCUCAUUUAUCAUAUCCAGCCCUGCCAAUCUACAACGUAUCGAUAGGACGAUGGUUUUGCGACACCACCAUCACCACCAUCACCACCAUCACCACCGCCGCCACCACU